rnacentral:rRNA from 1 species
UAGAACGCUGAAGGAGGAGCUUGCUUCUCUGGAUGAGUUGCGAACGGGUGAGUAACGCGUAGGUAACCUGCCUGGUAGUGGGGGAUAACUAUUGGAAACGAUAGCUAAUACCGCAUAACAGUAGAUAUUGCAUGAUAUCUGCUUGAAAGGUGCAAUUGCAUCACUACCAGAUGGACCUGCGUUGUAUUAGCUAGUUGGUGAGGUAACGGCUCACCAAGGCGACGAUACAUAGCCGACCUGGGCAGAGGGUGAUCGGCCACACUGGGACUGAGACACGGCCCAGACUCCUACGGGAGGCAGCAGUAGGGAAUCUUCGGCAAUGGACGGAAGUCUGACCGAGCAACGCCGCGUGAGUGAAGAAGGUUUUCGGAUCGUAAAGCUCUGUUGUAAGAGAAGAACGAGUGUGAGAGUGGAAAGUUCACACUGUGACGGUAUCUUACCAGAAAGGGACGGCUAACUACGUGCCAGCAGCCGCGGUAAUACGUAGGUCCCGAGCGUUGUCCGGAUUUAUUGGGCGUAAAGCGAGCGCAGG